rnacentral:tRNA from 1 species
CAUUAGGUGGCCGAAAGUAAGCAAUGGAAUUUUAAUCCAUCUCAUAGUAAUUAACUUCUACUUCUAAUGA